rnacentral:sRNA from 4 species
AUGUACCACGCGUACACUCCGGUUCUGGGUGCGCCGUCCGCACCCACCUGACGACUGCUGCUACGUUUUGUUAGUC